UCUUUUUCUCUCCCCAUUCUCUCUUCUCCAUUCAGUAUAUUAUAAGCUAUCUUAGCUUGCACAUUAAAUUAAAUGAUGUUUCGUCACCUACUCCUCCUCUCGUCAGUUCUUUCAUGUGGAAUUGGAACUGGGCACCAAAAAAGUCAUAUUCUAAACCCGAAUUCAACGAUCUAACAAUCUGCUUUAGCUAUAGAAUUAACUGCCGUCCCCCAUCAUCAAAGCGCACAUAAAUUCUAACACUUUCUUACCUGACACAGUUGUCAAAAACAUCCCAUUUUCUAGCACUAUGCUCCCUGAGAUUCUAUCCCAUUUCAAGUUCGAGGCUAACUCAACCGAUGCUAAGACUGUGAAACAAACACUUUAUCUCUGUGAGAGUCCUUCCUUGAAUGGAGAACAUCUUUAGAGUCACUGGUAAAAUUCGCAAUUAAGGCUAGUUUCAACUGAGUUUGAAAAGGAGCCACAGAACGAGCUACACUACAAUUUGGUAGAGGGAGUGAAGAAAAUUGGAGACAAGGUUGUAGUGUGCCACAAAUUGAAGUACCCUUAUGCAGUGUUUUAUUGCCACAAAAUAGAGACAAGGGCCUAUACUGUUUCAUUGAAGACUAAUGACGGGUCAAAAGCAAAAGCAUUAGCAGUUUGCCACACCAAUACUAAAGAGUGGAAUGCUGAACAUGUUGCUUUCGAAGAGCUUAAUGUGAAUCCUGGUUCUGUUCAUAUUUGUCAUUUUCUUCCCACAGAUACCCUUCUUUGGAUACCCAAUUAGUAUUGUGUAGUAGUAGUUUCAUAAAACAAUGCCAAUUAUGUACCUUCUUCCUAAGUGAAAUUCUCUUGAUUUCCCUUGUGUUGCAUACUUGCAUGUAAUAAAACAGAAUGUGUUUGUUGGUGGA